AUUAUUGAUUUUCUGUUUGUUUUGUAUUUGUCGGUGGAGCGUGACAAAGGCACGACACAGCAGCGAUAAGACAUAGCCGACCAAUCAUGAUCCGCCGUUUAACCUACGUCCGCCCGACAAACACAAAAUUUCAAUAAUCGGUCCACUUGGGGUUGAAACCAACCCUAGUCGUCUUUUUUAUGCCAUCGGUCGCCAUUAGUCGCCGUCACUGCGCAAUCAUUCGUGUUUUGUUUCGUUGAUGCCAUCAGAAAUGGGCGGAGCUUAGUUUGUCAAACUGAGCUAGACCAUCAGUCACGUGACGCUUUGACGCCAUCAGCCGCAAUCACUCGUCACCCGAGUCCGGAGUGUCUCCAUGGAGCACCAUCAGUGAAACCUAACCUCUAACAAUUUUUAGUAGCGUAAUCCCGUGAUCGUGACGGACUCGUGAGUUGAAGCUGUGAAUUGGUGAGUUAUAAACUUUUAUUAAAUUUUGAUUAUGUCUCAAGUCAAUAUUUUUGAUCGUGGUAAGUUUUUUUCUUACAUUUUCCAUCAUAAUGAAUGAGAGGAGAGAAUAUAUUCUGUUUCGAUGAGAAGGAAGCCUACGAGCCUAUGUAGCGAAUCAAAUUGUUCAAGCAUGUCUUAUGAUUCAACUUCAUUUAGACAUCAAAGCUACAAGUUGGACUGAAAUAACAACUGAUAAAUCAUUGAAUUAAUACAGGUUAUAUGCAAAUUAUGGGGUGAAGCAUUUUCCUGCCUUGUAUGGAUGAGAUUGCUAACACAGGUGGUACUCUACCGAAGUUUAUACCUAUCUCUCUGCAGUUCCUGUCCCUUCGGCAAAGACAGUGCAAAAGAAUGUGCAAUUCCUAUCCAUGCAUUUGAUAUUUUAGAUAACAGUUAUUUUACCUGCCUUUCUCCUUGAAUUCGGUAAUUUUUUCUUUCUCAGAAUACAAUAAUGAUGAGGUACGAGCUCAUCAAAGUCGAUGGGAAGCCGGUCAGGGAUUCCACCGGGAAGAAGCUACUCUUGAGAGAUCAGUUGGGGAAUGAUGUAUUCAUUGAUGAGGCGCUCAUCUCUUUCGAACCUGAAGCUCCACAAGAAGCUCCCAAUUCAACUUUGCAAAAAAAAUCAGCAGAGACGAAACAAAAUGCAGAAGUUGAAGAGAAAUUUUGGAGCAGAAAUUUAGCAAAGCCAGAAGAGUUUAAUUCUCUCCCGGUCAAAAAUGUCCAAGAACUCCUCAUAAAAAUAUUCGGAGAUCCAAAAAUCCAACAAUUAUUUAAGGAUACCGUAACCCGUAAGAGUAAGGUUUGGGAGCUUGUAGCGGAAAGUUUGCAGAAAGCCGGAUACCCUUUGACACAAAAAGGACCAAGAUCACCCGGCAAACAAUGCGAUGAUAAAUGGAGACAGCUAAAAGCUCAGUAUUACAAACACAAGAAUCCCAAGACUGGGGAAGGGGCCAAAACUCCACUGCCUUACUAUGACCUAGUGGAUUCAAUCAUAGGAGAUGAUCAACUAACUUCACCCAAGCAUACCAGAGAUACACUGAACUCUUCAAACAAUUCUAGGAGCAGUGAAACAGCUGCAGCACCGUCUCCAAGUAACAGUGUCGAACAACCUCAACAGAACUUGUUUGGUGAGUCUGAUUCUGAGGAAGAUGCUGAUACACCUCCUGAUCCCAAACUACGGCUGAGGUAG
rnacentral:lncRNA from 1 species